GUUUCUUUUGCCUUUUUUGAGUUUGAAACAUUUGCUUACAAGAGUUGAUGAAAUAACUAACUGAAUUUGAACCCGUAGCCAUGGCCAGAAGCUAGUCUAAGACCCGUACCUGUGUCAGCUCUUGUAAUCCCCACAUCUCUUUCAUUAUUCCCAUUUUACAGUUGAGGAAGUUGAGAUAGAGAAAUGAAGUCGCUGUCAGGAACUGUGAAGGGUCUGGAAUCUUACUCUACUAACCAGUAGACAGUUAGUCUGCUGCAGUAUCCUGGGUGCUGGCAGGAGACAGGAGAUGCUGGGCCAGGGUCAGGGCUGAGCUUUAUUACAACAACAGCAGGAUCUAGUGUCAGCGUUUAUGCCAGCUGCCUAACCUUAACUUCAAAAGGUGACACCUUCACACACAGUGGGUUGUGCUACAGAAGAAUCCCAAGUGUAGAGAAUCCAAAUCUUCUGUCUUUGCCCUGAGAGAGCCACUCUCUCUCUUCCAGGGUGGCUGACUAUAGAAACAUCCUUGGAAAGAGUCCUAGAACAGAGGUGGCCAAUACCACGGCUCACCAGCUAUGAAGAAACAAUAGAGACCCACAGAGAAUUGUCUCCCAAAAGGAACUUAACCAAAAUCGCUCCGUUAGGAGGUGGUGGUGUCAGGAUUCAAAGCCAGGCCAUCCGGUCCCAGAGCCUGUUCUUAUAGCCCUGCUCCCACCAUGCUGCCCCCAGGACAACUCAGUGCAGGAAGGAGGUGCUGAGCUGUGGCGCCAUGUCUAACUGGUCACCAGCGGCUUCACACAAUGAUUAUUUUACUUGUGAAUGUGCACUGAACAUUGCUCUCAUUUGAAUCCCUCCCCUUCUCACCACUCCAGCCUGCUGAAUCAGAAACUGAGGGUGCAGCCAAGAAAUCUAGAUGUGUGCCAGAGAAGAUUCUUCACCACUGCACAGAUGAAGCCACCUAGAAGGCAACUGACUUGCUCAAGAUCAAAGAAAGUGACUGGGCCAUGGCUCAAAACUAAGAAUCCUGGGACUCACUAAUUUGUUUGUUCAUUCAUUCAUUUAUUCAACAGUCUAUAUUGGCGACUGUGCUAGUUUCUGGACACAUACGGACAAAUGUCACUGAGCCCUGACGAAAGGAUUUACAGUCUGCUGAGAAAAUGGAUGGACAGACAGACACACAGCCACAACAAUGUGGAGAGUGCUUACAUACAGGUGGCAACAAGGUCUCCUGAGAUGAUCCAGCAAGAAUUCCCAAGCCUUUGGUGGAAGGGAUAGCUGAGGAGAGUUUCCAGGGAAGCUUGGUUGGUGGUCUGGGACAUGUAGGAGAUGUCCAGGCAACACCAGACAGCUUAUAUCAAGGUGUACCUAGAGAACAAACCUGGAGAAGCAGAGUGUUCUGAGAAUCUCAAGGAAGGCCUAGUACCCAGACAUAAUGCCCCAUUCAAGACCUUGCAAGUCUUUUUCAUCGUAGUCUUAUUGUCCAUUAACAGGUUAUUCAGUUACAUUGGAGCAGUAUCUGAGGGCAAAGCCAGCACUCCAGACCCUGCACCAUUUUUGGUGGUAUUCCAGAGAAAAUGGGAUUUGGUCUAGGGGUCUUGUCUUCCUUUUCUGGGCCAAGCACAGGGAUAGGCUUUGCCUUCUCUGUGGUAUAAUAAAUGGGGUAGAACCCAAGGAAAUUGUUGGUGGGGGUUGCUCGGUAUGUGAAGUGGGAAACUUUAUGCCCCAGAGCUCAGCAUUACCAGAACCAGGUCUGGCUUCCGUCCUGUGCAAGUUAUUAGAGGCCUGACCCUUUCAAGCCAUUUGACCUCUGCAUCUCUCAUAUUUGUACGGCGGCUAUGCCUCCCUCAUUGGGUUGCUGUGAGGCUUCAAGACAAUAAUUUAUGUGAACAGGAACAGCGAGAUACCAGCUGCUUCACUGAUGCUGUCACAGUGGAGGGAAGUAGGGGGCUGGAAGUGGACGACUGUGCUCGCUAUGGCUGUGUUCUCUCCAAACCCUUGACUCCAGACAUGUGUUUCACUAGCUGUGGGCUGAGGGCAGAUCAGGAGUGAGAGAGCAUGAGAGGGGCCUGCUGGGACUCCCUGGCCUUGCAACUCUAUUCAGUUUUUGGUUUUCUUUCUGGCACACAUUGAUGCAAGUGUUGCUGCUCAACAAGGAAACAGAAAUACCUCGUGGAUAACUGACGGCAAAUAAUGUUCUCCUCACAUUUCUUACUACCUCCUGAAGAGGGCUGCUUCUGUAUGAGGACAUGGAAAGAGGAAGCCCUCCCUGCCCAGAGGUGGAUCCCAGAGGGAGCCAAGCAGUGGCUGUGCUUUGAUUGGAGAGUGACGACCCUGUGCAUAAUCAUUGAUCCCCCCAACUCCGGCACCCAUUUGGCUCCACCUAGAGUGGGGUCAAUUUCCUUACACAGGCUGCUUCAGAUGCCCCUCUUUCCCCAAGAUGAUGAUCACCCAUUUUAGCAAACUCACCACUCUGAAAAUCAGUCCUUAUUAACAAGAAUAACAGACUGUAUUUUGGCAUUUUGGGGUCAACAAUAUGGAAGAGAGUAAAAAUAUGGAGAAAAAUCUCUGGAUAUCCAGGAAUGUAGGAUUACAAACUGCUAUGAUAAAUGACUUAAAAGAUUACUUUAAAGCUUUUUAUUUGAAAACAAUUUCAAACUUGCAGAAAAGUUUCAAGAAUAGUACAAAAUAUAUCCUGUGUACUUUAUUCAGAUUUGCCUAUUGCUAACAUUUUCCUACAUUUAUUAUUUCUUUCCACCCCCUUUGCAUAUAUACAUUUUUUCCUGAACCCAUUCAAGGAUAAAUUACCUUCAUACUUGAGAGUAAUUUACACAUCUCAUGGUUACUUACCCCUAAAUACCUUAAUGUGUAUUUCCUAAGAUUAGGGACCUCCUUUUACUUAACUAUUGCAUGAUUGUCAACUUCAGGAAGUUUCAUGUUCUUUAAUUUAUUGUCUGUAAGGUGUGUAAGAACAGUAAAAUGUGUGUUUCUUUUUUUUUAGUAAAAGGGUAUAUGAAGGCAUGGAAAUGUAAACUUUUGCUGAGGGUUAAAGGAUUGUUUUAAGUUAGAUAAGGAAAGCUGAAGGUUCAAAAAAGUGGUGGAAAAAUUGUGAAAAUUAAUCUUACAGAAGAGGUUCUCUGUGUGAACAUGUUGACUAAAUUCAAAAGGGUUAUAAGGUUUUUGCUUCUUUAAAAUUUCUGAGUCGUGAUUUUGGCAAAAUAAAUAACUUGUGGUAAUCUGUAAUUCCCAAAAUCAAACUUCAUUUUCAAAAUUGUCUUCCCUGGCACCUGGCUUUUCAAAUACUUCAGAAGGCCCCCGAAAUGUCCAGAAAAGAGAGGUAAACAGGAUUAUUUGACAUGUUCAGGUACAUGGGAUUGCCAAAAUGAUGCUCAAUCUUCUUUAGGUUACAUUUUUGUGAAUAAUACUAAUAUAUAUUCUGAAAUUUUAUAGGAUUUCUAAAAUUCUAAUGUCUAAGUAUAUGUUACCAAUUACAAUUAUAGUUAAGUUAUUGUAAACCACAGAAAUAACUAAAAGGCAUACGCCGUAUAUGACUUUGUAACUUUACUUCAUCCUCUUCAUUUACAUAGGGUGUGCCCCAAGUAGAGGGUAGUUAAACUCACGAAAACUCUGUAACAGGGCCUUUGAGCUCCUACGCUCAGGCCUGCUCCCACACUGUGGAGUGUACUUUCAUUUUCAAUAAAAC
rnacentral:lncRNA from 1 species